GGGGAAUAUUGCGCAAUGGACGAAAGUCUGACGCAGCGACGCCUCGUGAGGGACGAAGGUCUUCGGAUUGUAAACCUCUUUCAGCAGGGACGAAGCGAAAGUGACGGUACCUGCAGAAGAAGCACCGGCUAACUAUGUGCCAGCAGCCGCGGUAAUACAUAGGGUGCAAGCGUUGUCCGGAUUUAUUGGGCGUAAAGAGUUCGUAGGCGGUUUCUCGCGUCGGAUGUGAAAACUCAGGGCUCAACCCUGAGCCUGCAUUCGAUACGGGGAAACUUGAGGACGGCAGGGGAGACUGGAACUCCUGGUGUAGCGGUGGAAUGCGCAGAUAUCAGGAAGAACACCAAUGGCGAAGGCAGGUCUCUGGGCCGAUUCUGACGCUGAGGAACGAAAGCGUGGGGAGCAAAC
rnacentral:rRNA from 1 species